ensembl:snRNA U6 U6 spliceosomal RNA
GUGCUCCCUUCAGCAGCACAUAUACUAAAAUUGGAAGGAUACAGAGAAGAUUAACAUGGCCCCUGUGCAAGGAUGACAUGCAAAUUUGUGAAGUAUUCCGCAUUUUC